rnacentral:tRNA from 1 species
AAAGGGGAUGAUGGUGUAACCCAUAUCUUACAAAAUCAGCUCUUCGGGCUCAUAACCCGGAGGUCGCAGGUUCGAGUCCUGCCCCU